GACGAACGCUGGCGGCGUGCUUAACACAUGCCAGUCGAACGGUGAAGCGCCUUCCUUUUUGGUGGGUGUGGAUGAGUGGCGAACGGGUGAGCAACACGUGAGUAACCUGCCCCCUUCUUCUGGAUAACCGCAUGAAAGUGUGGCUAAUACGGGAUAUUCUGGUUCUGUCGCAUGAUGGGUCCGGGAAAGAUAUUGUUUCGGUGGGGGAUGGGCUCGCGGCCUAUCAGCUUGUUGGUGGGGUGAUGGCCUACCAAGGCGGUGACGGGUAGCCGGCCUGAGAGGGUGGACGGUCACACUGGGACUGAGACACGGCCCAGACUCAUACGGGAGGCAGAAGUGGGGAAUAGUGCACAAUGGGCGAAAGCCUGAUGCAGCGACGCCGCGGGAGGGAUGGAGGCCUUCGGGUUGUGAACCUCUUUCGCCAGUGAAGCAGGCCUGCCUCGUUUGUGGGUGGGUUGACGGUAGCUGGAUAAGAAGCGCCGGCUAACUACGUG
rnacentral:rRNA from 1 species